rnacentral:rRNA from 1 species
UACAGAGGGUGCGAGCGUUAAUCGGAAUUACUGGGCGUAAAGCGCACGUAGGUGGCUUUGCAAGUCGGUUGUGAAAUCCCCGGGCUUAACCUGGGAACUGCAGUCGAGACUGCUUUGCUUGAGUAUGGGAGAGGGAGGUGGAAUUUCCGGUGUAGCGGUGAAAUGCGUAGAUAUCGGGAGGAACACCUGAGGCGAAGGCGGGCUACUGGGCUGAUACUGACGCUGAUGCGCGAAAGCCAGGGGAGCGAACGGG